CCGACGCAACAGGAUUCUGAUAAAGCGGCCUUAUUCUGCAAAACCUUCCAGCGUGAACAAUCCUCCCUGGAGCAGGCAGGGAAAUUCCUAGGAUGCCAGGACACCGGGCGGGCCGGAGGGGGAGGGCGCGAAACUCAGGUGAACUUCCCACCGUGGGCCGAGGGCCGAGCGAGGGCCGAGGGGCCUGGCCUUUCAGCCAUCGUCGUUUCAUUCGGUCAAGAAGUCGACGCCUAUUUGAUGAGCGCGUCCCAAGUGCUGGGCCCCGAUCCAGAGUCCCUGGGGAGGCGACACCUUCGUGGGAUCACAGAGCUCCCGGACUUUGAACAAGCGGCCCCGAUGCACAGUCCGGUGGCGGCUGGCGAGCAAGUCUUGGUUUCUCAUGAGCAAGUGGAAAUAUAUGGCCCGUGACAUCUUUUGUUCCUUCUAAGUAGCCCUGGCAUUUGAGGGCUCCUCAUCUAGAAAAUGUUCCAAGUCUCACUGCCAUGUAUCCCGACCGUGCUGUGGACAGUUUUGAGCAUCCUUUAGGAGAGAAUAAGAUCCAACUGGCCCCUCAUCAUGACCUUCCCACCCCGCUGGCUUGAAGCCUAUUCCACCCAGUGGGCCAACACUCCUCAACCCAGGGCCCCAGGACGGCCUGCGUGGAAUCGCUGAGAACAAGCAACCUGACCUGAUUCUCCACACCUGCAAGUCUUGAUGUCUGUAUGGAGCUCUUCAGACUGGGUGCAUGUUUUGGAAGCCACAGCCAUUCCAGUGGUUACCCUGGUGAGAUGGGUGCUCCCAGACCAGAAUACAGAUUUCCAUUGUCCAGACCAGCAGUGGGAGGACAGGUCUUUGAGUUUCUUACUGAGGAGAACCAGCAUCAUGAAGGUUCUGGGAUGUGGCUCCAUUGUGCAUUGGACAGCUCCAAGAGAGGAGGGUCCCUGGGCUGCCUACUAAUGAGUACUCAGUACCUCAGUACUGAGACAUCAGCUGUUCCCGACUCACAAGGGAGGAAUGAUGGUAGCGAUCCCGAGUAGCGAAGUCUGCGUUCUCCUGGGUGAGCUGAGUCAUCUUCGUGUCAACCCUAGCCAGGGACGGUGCCAAAAUUAUCUGCUCUUGGGGAGAUCUCAAGCUCCUUCAGGGAGAGAAACACAGAGGCGGUCAGAUAGAAAAAGUGUUAAACAGUGGAGAUGUCUCCUCUAGGAUAGAAUAAUGCUUUGCAAAAAAAUGUCAUUGUGCUUAUUAUUUUACAUGUAUUUAUUUAAAAAAAUUUUAUUGGAGUUCAAUUUGCCAACAUAUAGCAUAACAUCCAGUGCUCAUCCCACCAAGUGCCCCCCUCAGUGCCCAUCACCCAGUCACCCCAACCUCCCACCCACUUCCCUUUUCACUACCCCUUGUUCGUUUCCCAGAUUAACAUGUAUUUAAAUAAAAUAACCCAAACUAUAAAAAAUAAAUAUCAAAUGAGGACAGUGAUCUUUACCUCUCUUUAAUAGAAACAUAUAAAACUGUACCCACCCAAUAGGAGACAACCCUCAAGGAUAACCUUCCAAAUGGUGUCAUGUUGGGGCCCUACAGCUUUCCUUUGCUUUCUUGCCAAAUGAAGUAAUGGGAUGGAGAGGCUGGAAAACCAAGAGUGGAAAGAGAAGCUUUCUCUUUGGUUCUUUGGAAAGAACAUCGAAUGAGGAAUGAUUUCUGGGGCUGAGGUUUACUUAGGAAGCAGUUAUGAGGGGAGCUGCAAAGACUUUUGGCACUAAAUUAGCCUGAAGACAAAAAGCAAGUCGUGUUGUGGAUUCCAUUGUCACUGAAGUGUCUACACACAGUUGGAGUUAGAAUAAACUGGGAAAGGAAAAUGUGAGAUACAAGAGGAAAGUGCUAGAGGCAGAAUGCAGUAGGAAAGAUCAGACCGGCAGUCAGAGCGCCUGCAGAGGAUGGACAGUCCCAGCGCUGCCAUCAGCCUCACCGCCCAGGCCAUCAGACCUCUGCCGCCUUGAUUUCUCAUCUUCGGUUCCCUCAGUCUAUCGUAGGUCCUUAACUCACACCUCAGGCAGGGAUUUCCUCAACAUUUUACUCAAAAGGAAUCUACUUUGUGAGUAGUGAUGUUUGAUUGUUUAAAGAAUAUAUUCGACAAUUACUUUAAAGAGGGAGCAACCUGACCUCCUGCACUCGUGGAACCUCAGUGGGAAGUGCCGGUUGCCUCUGACAAUAGAAGUUCCGAAGUCACAGGACUAAGGCUUGUAGCCACUUUCUGAGAACAUAUCUAAAUUAGAUACAUGGAGAUUUUCUGAGAAAUGAGUGAGCUGCUAUAAAGGGUGAAUCUUCAAGAAGUAACAUAGUCAACAUACAAGGUGUUUAUGCCAGUGUAUUUUUUGUUGUUAAUGCUUUUUUUUUUUCUUUUAAAGGUAAAACCAUUGUAUUCUUCUGAGUUCAGGUAAAUACUAUGCUUCACUUUUAGACUAGAAUGGCCUGAGAAUUCUUACUUGCUAGGACUUCUGGGAAGAAAGCCCUGUCAAGGUUAGGCUUUAUUUCACAUAAUUCUGGGAAUUGUAUACAUAACAGAAGGAACAACAUAGCCAAAGUCCUUUGCCCAAACAAAUUCUUUGUUUCUUUCUUUAAAAAAUUCUUUUUUAAAAAAUAUUCUUUUUUUAAAAAAAUAUUUUAUUUAUUCAUGAGAGUCACAGACUGAGAGAGGCAGAGACACAGGCAGAGGGAG